AACGAACGCUGGCGGCAGGCUUAACACAUGCAAGUCGAGCGCCCCGCAAGGGGAGCGGCAGACGGGUGAGUAACGCGUGGGAAUCUACCCAUCUCUACGGAAUAACGCAUGGAAACGUGUGCUAAUACCGUAUACGUCCUUCGGGAGAAAGAUUUAUCGGAGAUGGAUGAGCCCGCGUUGGAUUAGCUAGUUGGUGGGGUAAAGGCCUAACAAGGCGACGAUCCAUAGCUGGUCUGAGAGGAUGAUCAGCCACACUGGGACUGAGACACGGCCCUGACUCCUACGGGAGGCAGCAGUGGGGAAUAUUGGACACUGGGCGCAAGCCUGAUCCAGCCAUGCCGCGUGAGUGAUGAAGGCCCUAGGGUUGUAAAGCUCUUUCACCGGUGAAGAUAAUGACGGUAACCGGAGAAGAAGCCCCGGCUAACUUCGUGCCAGCCGCCGCAGUAAUAC
rnacentral:rRNA from 1 species